CACCUGGUUGAUCCUGCCAGUAGUCAUAUGCUUGUCUCAAAGAUUAAGCCAUGCAUGUCUAAGUAUAAGCUUUAAACGGCGAAACUGCGAAUGGCUCAUUAAAACAGUUAUAGUUUAUUUGGUGAUCGAUUACUAUUUGGAUAACCGUAGUAAUUCUAGAGCUAAUACAUGCGUCAAGGCCCGACUUCGGAAGGGCUGCGUUUAUUAGAUAGAUUUAUGGAUAGAACCUAGUGCGAAUAAAUCUAUCCCUCGGAUUUUCAAGGGCCAGCGAGAACACUCCAGACACCCUGUUAGACAAGGUGCUAUUCCAGUUCGAAAACCCUAUCUCCAGAUGAUCUGAUUCCAGGGUAAGUCGAACUGUUAAAAAGAAAAGACAACGCUUCCUGGGGUCCCCUAUGGCGUGUCCGAGG
rnacentral:ncRNA from 1 species